GGCGAAUCGAUCGCCUGCCCAGAGGAGAUCCAAGCGCUGCCGGCCUGGGUUGAGCUGGAAGAUGUCCGAUACACGUAGGCUCGCCCGUCCUUUGGCCCACCGCUGUUGCUGGAUGGCAACUUGUACAAGACGAACCUGGCGGACCAAUGCGGAGGAAGAAAAGGAUGUGGGGGAUGGAGAACAAGAAGACAAAUCAACAGAAUUGUAACAGCAACACUCGUGACGACGACGACGACUACUCUAGGAAAUAUCUCAUCUCUGCAGUUUGUUUGUGCGCCUCUGUUUAGCGGUCGCUCGAUUCCUGGAGUGUUUAUUCAGGCGGAAACACGCUCGUUCCCAAAAUAUUUCCAUUGCUUUAACGGAACAUGUCGCUGCUUUUCCAAUUCACUUUAUCGCCCACAAGAUACGACACGUUUUCGACGGUUUUCGAGUUGUAAAAACGUCUUUGUCUACCCCGUUUCUUUCGUCUCGAUUUCAAGUGCGGAUGGAAAUAGACCAAGGAUCGAUAGUUCGAAAACGGUGACGAGCUCUUCGAAAUGAGAAGACAAAUAAGUCAGUAGACUCCUUCUUUUUGCUUCAUUCAACUACUCCCAUCAAGAGUCUCCCCAUCACUGAAACUUGGAAUUAAAAUCAAUAGCUGUUGGGUUUUGUGGUGUCUCGUUCCGUCAGAAAUAGAAAAUAUGCCUUUCAGUUUCCGCUUUGCUCAAAAUUGCCUCAACUCUUUCAUCUCUCAUUUCAAUUUCUUUUCCCAUUUCUUCUCCUUUUCCCCGAAACAUACUAAUGCCAACACCAAUUAUUGGAGAAUCAUCCGUUCUAACGAGAUUUGUGAAUGGGUCGGCCGGCGCUCUCAUCAUUGUCGAUUCUGGCCCUCUGUUAAGUGCAAAGAUGAUAAGUGCGGAGCUUGAAAUGACAGGAACCAAGUUACCAGUCUUUUUCAAAUCAGUAAUGAGGCUUAUAGUCAAACUGGUGAGAGGCGGAUGAAAAGAGUAGUAGAGUAGAGUGCGAAUGAGACAGAAGCAGAAUAGAAAAUUCCAAUUCCAAACGGGGGACAUUUGGGUCAUUGAAAAUGAUGAAAGCGAGUUGAUAACAAACCUGAGAAUAGCCGUAGACUUGAAUGGAGCG